rnacentral:lncRNA from 1 species
CCGGCGAAAAAGGCCUACCGAAAUCGGGAUUCCGUGCCCGAGGCACAGGGAUAAAAACCCGAUUAUGGUCCUCCAUGAGUUCGGAGCCAACUGCGCCGGGACGAGUUGGUACUCGGCCAGCAAGUUGCUCACGAACUCAUGGGCGGGAAAACGCAGGCCCGCCCAAAGUGUCUCGCGGUAAACCGCGAUCCGACCUGGGGGCGGCUGCGUCACCCUGUCUUCCGGCCCUGCGGUUUCAAGGCGAAACCCGGGCUGGAAGAAGAAACGGGAGCGGAUUAACUCCAG